rnacentral:rRNA from 1 species
UUGGACAAUGGGGGCAACCCUGAUCCAGCAAUGCCGCGUGUGGGAUGAAGGCCUUCGGGUUGUAAACCACUUUUGGCGGGGGCGAAAUAUCGAGUGCUAAUACCAUUCGGUGAUGACGGUACCCGCAGAAUAAGCACCGGCUAACUACGUGCCAGCAGCCGCGGUAAUACGUAGGGUGCAAGCGUUAAUCGGAAUUACUGGGCGUAAAGCGUGCGCAGGCGGUUAGGUAAGACAGGUGUGAAAUUCCCGGGCUCAACCUGGGAACUGCAUUUGUGACUGCCUGACUAGAGUGCGGCAGAGGGGAGUGGAAUUCCGCGUGUAGCAGUGAAAUGCGUAGAUAUGCGGAGGAACACCGAUGGCGAAGGCAACUCCCUGGGCCUGCACUGACGCUCAUGCACGAAAGCGUGGGGAGCAAACAGGAUUAGAUACCCUGGUAGUCCACGCCCUAAACGAUGUCGACUAGUUGUUGGACGGGUUACUGUUCAGUAACGAAGCUAACGCGUGAAGUCGACCGCCUGGGGAGUACGGCCGCAAGGUUAAAACUCAAAUGAAUUGACGG